AUAUUCAAGAGUUGUUUACCUCAAGAGAUGUAUUGCUGAUUAAAAAUUGAUGAAUACAUGUUCUGAAAGAUCAUCUAUACCCAAGGGCUCUGUUUUAUUUUUCAUAAAGAAACACCGUCUUAAAUCCUAAUCAUGUUCGUAGCGCUAAGAACUCCCAAUUCUGAAAAAAGGUGAAAAAAAGAGAAUGACAGAGAACGAAGAAAAGUGCAAAACAUGACUUGAAUGAAGACCCAGCCUGGAUGGGUGUAUUCUCUUUUCCACCUUGACGAUGUAUACAAGUCAGUGUUAGUAUCGAAGUAUCUAACAGACAUUGUAUUAUUCACCAAGAAUUCCUUUAUCUGAGCUGUUCUUCCAUGCCUGUGCGUCAUAUGUCUAUCGAUUUAGGAUACGAGUAAAGAAUGUUAUGUUUCUUUAGUUACUCUUUGUGAUGUUUCUAUUUUAUAUUUAUCGUGCCAUUUUGACAUGCAUGUAUCUGCUGAGCAAAUUGAGAACAUGAAGGGAGCACUUGGAUUUCAUUUCUAUCCGGUAGUUAGUCUAAAUGUCCGUUUUACAAAGCUGGUUACUUGCCCAUGACAAGAUCAAAGAUCAGGGAUAUCUCUUCUUGAGCAAUGUGGUUCGGGUUCGCUUGUUAAGUUUUUCUCCCACGUCUUCUUUGUGUGUAAAUUUGCUGUUCUGUGCUAUUGGUAGCCAAAGAUGUACUCCAUCGCUAUGUUGUUUGCAUUUGGUGAUAACUACUUCUACAUUCUGCUCAA